UUAAAUUGAAGAGUUUGAUCAUGGCUCAGAUUGAACGCUGGCGGCAGGCCUAACACAUGCAAGUCGAACGGUAACAGGAAACAGCUUGCUGUUUCGCUGACGAGUGGCGGACGGGUGAGUAAUGUCUGGGAAACUGCCUGAUGGAGGGGGAUAACUACUGGAAACGGUAGCUAAUACCGCAUAACGUCGCAAGACCAAAGAGGGGGACCUUCGGG
rnacentral:rRNA from 2 species